CCGGGAGGGUCACUAGCUCAGCGGGGACCAUGAGUGGGAUGGGAGGCUGGGAGGGGGCCAGAGAGGAGUCACGGGGGCAGCAGGGAAGGGAAGGUGCCAUGGAGGGAGGGGAGGCGGCAGGCGUUUUGGUGGUUUGCUGUGUUCCUGGCAGGGUGGCUCUCUGCUGUGGUGGGAGCUGGGGAGGGGCGAGGGAGGGAGAGGAAGAUGCAAAUGGGGGGAGGGGCAGAGAGAGAUUAGGGGCUGGCAGCACCCGUGCCCGCCCCCAGGCGUGACCCCCUUGUGGGAGACUGUGGCUCUGCGUGGGGCCGAGCGUGUGGGAUGAGCGGCCGCGGUCUGGGUUUGGGAGCAUGGCUAUCCACUAGCAGGUGGCUGCUGGUGACCCUUGUGUGUCUGGGUGUUUAUCUGGCCCUGGGGUCUGACGUGGAUCACUCUUGGCUGCUGGCGGGACAGUGUGUAUCUGCCUGUGGACACUUCCGGCCACUUGGCCUGGACCUCAGCACUCGGUGCUGCCUUUUCCGGGCCAAGCCCCCCAUCCCCCCACCCGGUGCAGGACUUCCAGGCUCCAGAGGUCACGGCUGCAGGCAGCAGAGAGGCUGCCAAAGCAAACCAGCCCCCGUGACUUGUAGGAAGGCAGCUGGGGGGAGGGGGCUGGGGCAGAGGCUGGGGCAGGAGUUGGGGGCGGUCUGGGGCCAGGGCCAGGGCCAGGGCCGGGGCAGGGACCAGGACUGCCUUGUUCAGGAGCUGGACUCGGGGCCGGGAAAUAGCUGGGGGCAGUGGUAGGCCUCGGUUCAGGCAGGGGGCCGGGGUGGGGUGGGGGGUGAGCUAGAAGGGACAGGGGUGGAUAGGGAGGGAGUUAGGCCUGAGCUGGGGCCAGGUGGGGGUAAGGCAGGGGCUGGGCGGGAGGCAGAAGAAGUGGCAGGGGCAGGGUGGGCUUGGGGCAGCUGGAGCCCUCUAUCUGGCUCCCUCCAAUUCAAAGGCCCACCCUUCAGUCCUCGUAAGCACCCCGCCCCAGCCUGCUCUGUCUGCUCAAAGCCCCUGCCUUCGGGCCAAACCUCUCCCUGCUCCCGCCUCCCCUCCGACUGGCACACCUGGGCCCCCUCCAGGCCGGAGGCAGGCUCCGCAGGUUGCUUGGGCCGGGCAGCUCCGGCCCUUGCAAACCCCGCCCCCCCAGCCAGGUGGCCGCCCGCGCUGCCAAUCCGUUUGCCCUGCCCCUCCACGCCCCUUCCCCCGCCUCCGGCCCCGCCCCCUCCGCCUCAGGUGAGGCCGCCAGGCCUAGCCGGCCCCACGCCGCUGCCUCCGCCUCCGGGCCACCGCUGCUGCGGGGCCACCAUGCUCCUGCCCAGGCCUGGAGACUGACCCGAAGAGGGCACCAUCUCUCAGCUCCGCCCCCACCUGUCGGACCCCAGGGUCCCACCCUGGCCCAGGAGGUCAGCCGGGGAAUCAUUAACAAGAGGCCGUGACAUGGCGGAGAAGGAGGGUGGCCGGACUGUGCCAUGCUGUUCCGGACCCAAGGUGGCAGCUCUCACAGCGGGGACCCUGCUGCUCCUGACAGGCAUCGGGGCAGCGUCCUGGGCCAUUGUGACCUUUCUACUCAAGAGUGAUCAGGAGCCGCUGUAUCCGGUGCAGGUCAGCCCGGCCGACGCCCGGCUCAUGGUGUUCGACGACACGGAGGGCACGUGGCGGCUGCUGUGUUCCUCGCGCUCCAACGCCAGGGUGGCGGGCCUGGGCUGCGAGGAGAUGGGCUUCCUCAGGGCCCUGGGCCACUCGGAGCUGGACGUGCGGACGGCGGGUGCCAACGGCACGUCGGGCUUCUUCUGCGUGGACGAGGGGAGGCUGCCGCUGGCCCGGAGGCUGCUCGAGGUCAUCUCUGUGUGUGACUGUCCCAGGGGCCGUUUCCUGGCUACCGUCUGCCAAGACUGUGGCCGUAGAAAGCUGCCUGUGGAUCGCAUCGUGGGAGGCCAAGACACCAGCCUGGGCAGGUGGCCGUGGCAAGUCAGUCUCCGUUACGAUGGAGCACACCUGUGUGGAGGGUCCCUGCUCUCCGGAGACUGGGUGCUGACAGCCGCCCACUGCUUCCCUGAGCGGAACCGGGUCCUGUCUCGAUGGCGAGUGUUUGCCGGCGCUGUGGCCCAGGCCUCACCCCAUGGCCUGCAGCUGGGGGUGCAGGCAGUAGUCUACCACGGGGGCUAUCUCCCCUUUCGGGACCCCAACAGUGAGGAAAACAGCAAUGAUAUCGCCCUGGUCCACCUGUCCAGCCCCCUGCCCCUCACGGGCGGGGCAGGCCGGCAGGGGCUGGACCGCCUGGUCUCUCUCCCAGAAUACAUCCAGCCUGUGUGCCUCCCGGCUGCCGGCCAGGCCCUGGUGGACGGCAAGAUCUGUACCGUAACCGGCUGGGGCAACACGCAGUACUACGGCCAACAGGCUGGCGUACUCCAGGAGGCCCGAGUCCCCAUAAUCAGCAGUGAGGUCUGCAACGGCCCCGACUUCUACGCGAACCAGAUCAAGCCCAAGAUGUUCUGUGCCGGCUACCCUGAGGGCGGCAUUGACGCCUGCCAGGUGAGGCACUGUGGGGGGCAGCCCCGAGCCCCUGCCACUCCAGGGAUGGAGACACAGGGCAGUGGGUGGCCGGGCUCCCUCUCUCAGGGCCAGAGGGCUCUGUGGCCACAGCCCCUGGCCAUCCAAGAGGGCCUCCCGGAUGCCCUCUUGGCCUCCAGCCCGGCCUCCCAUCCCCACACCAGGGUGACAGCGGUGGCCCCUUCGUGUGUGAGGACAGCAUCUCUCGGACGCUACGUUGGCGGCUAUGUGGCAUCGUGAGCUGGGGCACCGGCUGUGCUCUGGCCCAGAAGCCGGGUGUCUACACCAAAGUCAGUGACUUCCGGGAGUGGAUCUUCCAGGCCAUAAAGACUCACUCCGAAGCCAGCGGCAUGGUGACCCAGCUCUGACCUGUGGCUUCUCCCUGAUGCACACGCCUCCAGGGCCCAAGUUCACCUAGGGGGCUCCAGCCCCACCUGGUGGGGUUCACCCUGGGCCCGGAAUGGGAUGUUUCUCUUCUUGGGCUGAGCCCACAGGUCCAAGGAUACCCUCCCUCCAGGCUCCUCUCUUCCACAGUGGCGGGCCCACUCAGCCCUGGGACCACCCGAGCCUCACCCUCCUGACCCCCAUGUAAAUAUUGUUCUGCCAUCUGGGGACCCCCAUCUAGGUGCCCGUGAUGACACGAUGCUCUUUAAAUAAUAAAGAUGGUUUUGAUUAA